UCACUCUAUCUCUCUCUCUCUUUUUCUUUUUGCUGCAGUGAUAGCUUGUGUCCAGUUGCUGUUGGCUACCAAGACAGUGCACACCUUCGAGCAAAACAGACCCAGGGACCUCCACUGAGACUCUCAGUCAACCCAGAUCCAUAACUGUCAGUGGUUUGCAAACUUUGGUUUUAUGAAAAGUGAGAAUACGAGGGUCUGUGAGAGGAGGAGACUGAACCAGAUGUCUCCAUUUGCUCUCAAUUUAAUCUCAUUGCUUUCAAGGAGAUACAGUUGAGAUAAUAUGGAAAUCUAAUUGCGAUUUGUCUUUCCAAUGGGACCAACAACUCUCUCUGCAGUAUCUGUAUAUCUGUCAAAUCCACAUUAUACUCUCAAUGCAUGUUAGUCUGCAAUAUGUAACAUGCUUAUAAUAUGCAAUGGCUUAUUCUGUGUUUAUUGUAAAUCAAAUCAACACAAUGUUGUUUCUGUAAAUGAAAUGUGACAAGACUAAAGGUCAGUUUGCAUCGGUGCACACUGCUUUUCAAUUGUUUUUCUAUGUAAACAUGCGUUAGACAGAGAUCUUUGACCUUUGAUCUUUGACUGUUUUUUUCUCGCUGCCGCGUUUUUUAGACGCCACGUCAAUCAAAAAGAACUUACUGGAAAUACUGUUAAAAACGUGUCUCGAGACACUGGCUUUGAAAUGAAGUGUUGCAUAAACCUGCAUUAAAUGUCUAGCUAUGACUCAUAAUGUGCUGCUUCACAGUCCCUUUGCAUACAACAAUAUCCUCACCAUUAAAAUGACCACAGAAGGGUUGUAUUCUCAUUCCCACUUUGUGAUUAUGCAUGUUUGUGUCUGCAGUUAACUCAUUGUAAUUUGACAUUACAGACAUUUUUGUGCAUGCUAAGCCACUAAUUUACAUCUCAUUAUAGACAAGAAUGCUCGUUAAAAAAAUAAUAAUAAAAAAAGAGUUUCCAAUUGA